GGAAGGUCUGUGAGCUUGAAAGGUUGCAUCUGCUACUGGACCACUGGACAGAGGGAAAAAAAGAAGAGAAGAAUGGAAGAGUAUGAAAAGCAUACAUUCUCCUUGUUGGAAUUUGAUUCUUCUAAUUUUAAAGAAUGGAUAAAGAGUAUAUUAUCAGUGAGAGUUCUGAACAAUGCAAACCUUUGAGCAACCACACAGAUACAUGGACAAGAAAGCUCAUGACCUUCCACCCAUGUGGGAGUUUAAGGAAAAAUAGUACAAGAUACAUCAAGUAGAAGAGCAUCUAUCAUAGAGAAGACAAACUGAAGCUGGCUGAACAGAGGUACAUUCAGAGAUGCAUUUUCUUUACCAGCAGCGAAUGAUUCUUGCAGGCAGGUUCCCCUCCACAACACACAAAAAGAGGUCAUCUAUUUGCAUAUGGUUGACAGCAAACAGGCUAUCCUAACUUACCUUAGUUUGGUUGUUGAGCUAACAAA
rnacentral:lncRNA from 12 species